rnacentral:tRNA from 1 species
GGAGGGGUGCCAGAGUGGUUGAAUGGGGCGGUCUUGAAAACCGCUAGGACCGAGAGGUCCUCGGGGGUUCGAAUCCCUCCCCCUCCGCCA